GGCGGAUUGGCCGAGUGGUCUAAGGCGGCAGACUUAAGAUCUGCUGAACGUGAGUUCGCGCGAGUUCGAACCUCGCAUCCGUCA
rnacentral:tRNA from 1 species